rnacentral:rRNA from 1 species
CCUACGGGAGGCAGCAGUGAGGAAUAUUGGUCAAUGGACGAGAGUCUGAACCAGCCAAGUAGCGUGAAGGAUGACUGCCCUAUGGGUUGUAAACUUCUUUUAUAUGGGAAUAAAACGUUCCACGUGUGGGAUUUUGUAUGUACUAUAUGAAUAAGGAUCGGCUACCUCCGUGCCAGCAGCCGCGGUAAUACGGAGGAUCCGAGCGUUAUCCGGAUUUAUUGGGUUUAAAGGGAGCGUAGGUGGGUUGUUAAGUCAGUUGUGAAAGUUUGCGGCUCAACCGUAAAAUUGCAGUUGAAACUGGCAGUCUUGAGUACAGUAGAGGUGGGCGGAAUUCGUGGUGUAGCGGUGAAAUGCUUAGAUAUCACGAAGAACUCCGAUUGCGAAGGCAGUUCACUAGACUGCAACUGACACUGAGGCUCGAAAGUGUGGGUAUCAAACAGGAUUAGAUACCCGGGUAGUC